CAAAGUCUUCACUGGCUGAAUAUCAGUGCCUUUGGACUUUCAGGGCUCCAGCAGCAGAAUGGAAAGAAGCAUCUGUAGUGUGGUGGAAAGCACCGGAGACUCAGGCUGCUCAGCCUCUGGCCCACUCCUCCUGAGUCCUGGCAGGGAGCCCAGCCUCCAGGGGCCCUUGGUUUCAUGGUCGCUGUCCUGCUGCUACCUGACCGUGCUGGAAACCAAGGUAGGUCAAGCCUUGAGGUGGAAACCAGGCAACAGUUUCUGCCCUUGUUUUCCAGGACUAGGUAAGAACUUACUCUUCCUAGUUAUGGGUUAAAAGCAAGAACUCUAAAAACUUAUCUCCCUGCAAUCUCUCAGGAAAUAAAUAUGUCACCAUCCACAUCAUCUCAUGUUCAUGGCAGCCCUCUGUUUGACUUUACACAAAGCACUCCCAAGACUGAGCUGGUGGGAGAAAAAAAAAAAAAAAACACAUCAAAACAAAGCAGAAAGCCCCUGACAUCUAGGUCCUUGUACUUUGAUAUUAACCAUCAUUUAAAGAGUACUUAGUAACUGCCAUGCACUGUGCUAAGCAUGUUACUAACAUCUGAUUUUUUCUUCACUCCUGUAAAUGGACAGAGUUCAGAGAGGUGACAUAGCUCGCCCUGGGUCACACAGCUAGCAAGUGAUGGAGCUGAAAUUGGAAUCCAGGUUUGACUGACUCCAAAUUCCAGGCACACUCUUUACCAUUACAGCAAGCUGUCCCCUCCAGCCUAAGGCAAGAGACAGCACAAGCGCUACAUAAAUGAUAAAGGAGCCUACAGUGUUUCAUCCACCACUUCCCAGACAGGCAAGAGGGAAACGCAUUUGAAAGGUUCAGAAUUUUUUAAAAAUUUUUUGAAUAGGUAAAACAUUUACAGGUUUCAAAAAAAUCAAACAGUCUGCAGAGGUUCAGAGUGAAACAUCUUAUUCCCAUCCUGUCCUCCACCAGCUCUCUAUACUCUUUAUUGGAUUUGUAAGGUAUCCUUCAGAGUUCCUUUAUGCAAAUACACGCACAUGUGAACAUACAUAUUUUUCCUUCUUGUUUUUCACAAAAGGUAAUGCACUCUACAUACUGUUCGGCACCUUGGGCUUUUCUUUUUCCAUUUGCCAUUUAACCAAAGACUUGUCAGUCUUUCCAUACCAAUGCAUAGAGACCUUCC
rnacentral:lncRNA from 1 species